rnacentral:lncRNA from 1 species
UUCAAAUCAUCAGCUCGUUAAGAGAGAGAGAGAUCCAUGAACUGAAAUGAGUGUGUCAGCUGUCAGGUAGAAGAGACAUACAAAAUGUACAGAGCAGUGGGUCCACCAAAUAAGAACUCUUGUCUGAUAUGGAGCGGAGAUGGACAGCUUGUAUGCUGUGAUCUAGUGUGCAGACUGCUGCCACUAGAUGACUGCACACGAGUUGAGACGUCACGCUGCCUAAGGAUCUCUUUGGCAUUGUGCCGAUGCUUGCGUUUAUUAUUUUAUUUUGAGGAGGAGAGGAGGAGAACCCAACUGCCAAGGGAUUCGGGCACUCGGGUCCACUGCCCUGUUCUAGUGCAUUCUCUGGCAACACUGGAUCUCUGGCCGGGGUCCAGUGGACCUGAAGUGAACAGCGCCAGGUCUAUGACCCGCUGACAAAGCACCAGAAAACUAGAAGCAACCAAACAAAUCACACAAACAAGAAAACUGAAGCCGACUACUACCCUUAAACCCCCCUUUUUCCCCUUUGGUCGGUUUCUGGUUGUCUGUUGCUUGGUUGGCAGGUGAUGAGGAUGGCCUGCUGUGAAACCAACCUGUUUUUUGUUUUGUUUUAAUGAAGGCUGAGUGCAACUCUUUCCAAAAAAAUUAAUAAAAAUGGAAAAACCUGAAACUGAAAUUAAUGUCUGUGUUUUAUUUUAUUCAAGUUAUGAAACUCUUUUUAAAGAAUAACAAGGUAAAG